UACGUAGGGUGCAAGCGUUGUCCGGAAUUAUUGGGCGUAAAGAGCUCGUAGGCGGUCUGUCGCGUCGGCUGUGAAAUCCCGGGGGCCUCAACCCCGGGCCUGCAGUCGAUACGGGCAGACUAGAGUGCGGUAGGGGAGACUGGAAUUCCUGGUGUAGCGGUGAAAUGCGCAGAUAUCAGGAGGAACACCGGUGGCGAAGGCGGGUCUCUGGGCCGUAACUGACGCUGAGGAGCGAAAGCGUGGGGGAGCAAACAGG
rnacentral:rRNA from 1 species